AAAGGAACCUAUAAAUCUAGAAAUGUUUACCUGUAUUCCAAUUAAUUCAAGAAUUACCGGUACGCUAGCCGGAAUGUUGACUCUUGCCUCUUACAAUUAUCUUACAUGUAUUAUUCGUAUUACUCCAUAAUCAGAGACCUGGAAGUAAUUUGUUUUAUGUUGUAGUUUUUCUAUCUUCCAUUACUUUUACACUAAUAAGAAAAUGACGUCAUAUUUUGUGAUCCAAGAGGUAACCAAGGUAAACAAAAGGCGAAGUUCAAGGUCAUUCAUCAAAUUCAAGGUCAAAUUGAUAGCUACAUUCAUCAAAUUCAAGGUCAAAUUGAUAGCUACAUUCAUCAAAUUCAAGGUCAAAUUGAUAGCUACACGAUACACUGUAGUACAUAAUGGAAUUUAGUAAUUAAUCUGAUCGGAGAUAUCUUUAAGUAUUUUGUAACAAUUCCUUUUUUGGAGCUCUGUGUGGUGUAUGAAGUGUUUGUACAAGAAUGUACUGUGAAAGGCAGGCUGGAUCUGUGAUAAAAGUUGUGGACAGUGUUACAUAAUCCAACUAUGUUGGAUCCAAUUUUAAAUUUUGUGUUCGUUUGGUUUAUUUUUAUAGAAUAUAGAUGCAUAAUUUAACCAUUAUUUGUUUUAUUACACUGAUCUUUGAUAUGAACUUUGAUAAGACAUGUUUUUUUUUUUAAUCUUAUUCUGUAACAUGCAAAUAUAGGAAGAUGUAACUUCAUGUAUUACUGGUACAGUAUACCGUGUAUUUCCAAAAGUCCCUAAAAAACUUUUUUUUGGACUUUGCAAUUUAUUAUGUCCUGAGCAACACUAAUCCAAGAUAAAUGUAUUACAUUAAUAUAAUUGAUGUAAAUUUGUAUGAAGAAUUUUGAAUCACUUAUCAAUGAGUGGAUCAAAGGAUCUGAUUUUUUUUUUCAGAUUGCAUGGUUUAAUGUAAAAAUUUGAAUGAAAUUUAAUUCAAUUUAUUUUCAUAGUUUUGUUAUGUAUUAUUAAAAACCAUUAUAUU
rnacentral:misc_RNA from 1 species